CAGGUAUCCGGAGCUCAAAGUGAUAAUACCCUGCUUCGAAUCGUCUGUCACUCAUUUGGCAUCUCCCAUUCCCCUUGUGGCUGAAUGCCCUGAUUAUCCCAUUUUCAGGCAGCAUUGAUGAAAUCCCUGAUGGUGGUCGUGGCUCACCACACAAAAGUCAAGAAAUAGAGGAACCAUGUGUAGAAAUGAAGUUGGGAUCAGAUGAUGCUGCAUACGAGUUUUUUAAGUCUUUUGCAUUACCAAAGGUUUUGGUAUUCGUAGGGGGGAGUACUCAUACCAACAAAGGUAAACGAAUUGAUAAGGUUUUUGUUUGCUCCAAUUUUAAACAAAAAAAACCUAAUAAAAGUGGAAAGGUUUACCCUGAGUUAAAGUGUGGGUGCAAGGUUAGGAUGUGCAUAAGUAGUCAAGAAAACGAAGAGUGGAAAGUGAUUAACGUCGAUCUAGAUUAUAAUCAUGAUCUAGUUAGUCUAAGAAAAGCUCGUCUAAUUCGCACACACCAAUCAUUGUCGAGUACUACAAAGUCAUUGAUACAUUCAAUGAGCUCGACAAUGGUUAAGCCUAGACAUAUUCAUAGAGCAGGCUGGAGGGAUAGACAAUGUCCCUUGUACACAAAAGGACAUUCAAAAAAAAAUAGCAACCACUAGAAGAAAACUUAGAGGAAACGAUGUCAAUUUAAUUUUGCAAUGACUCUAUAAAAAGAAGCAAUCGAACCCAUCAUUUUUCUAUGGAUUGAGAUUAGAUGAUGAGGAUCACAUUCGCAGUAUUUUAUGGGUAGAUUCUACAUCUAGCGUUUCCCUCCAGUGCUUUUCUGGUGUGGUUACCUUUGAUACCACAUACAAGACAAAUGCAUUUGGUAUGCCUUUUGCACCUAUACUUGGUGUAAACCACCAUUUUAGUACAACUUUCUUUGGAUUUACUCUCAUAUUUGACAAGAAGAUAGAAUAAUUUAUAUGGGUAUUUGAAAACUGGUUGGAAGCCUUGGGUGGACGACAACCGUGAGUAAUUCUCAUUGAUCAAGAUCCGACAAUUUUAUAUGUAGUGAGACAAGUUCUUUACCAAAGUAAGCAUCAUUAUUGUAAGUGGCACAUAUUUGCGAAGAUCAAAGAAAUAAUGUGUCAUGUGUUGCGCAUGCGUCCUUCUUAUUCAGAUACCUUUCGGAGGUGUGUGGCUAGCCCAACUAUUGAAGAAUUUGAAUUCGCUUGGAAAUCAAUGAUUGAUAAUUAUAACCUGGAAGACAAUGAAUGGCUCAAUAGGCUUUAUGGUUGUCGCAUGCAAUAGGUUGACGCAUACUUGGCUGGCACGUUCACUGCUGGUAUGACUUCUACUCCAAGGAGUGAGGGGAUGAAUUCUCACUUCAAAACGUACUUGACACCCACAACAAGCUUGCGUUCAUUAUUAGAAGUUGUUGCAAAAGUCAAAGAUAAGAAGGUGCGAAAAGAGAGGGAAAAUGACUUGAAAGAUAUUCAAACUAUUCUAGUCUUGCGAACAACCACUUUCAUUGAGGCACAUGCAUAAAAAAUAUAUUCUCAAAAGAUUUUAAAGAUAAUUGGGAAAGAAAUGGCUAAUUGCUUUAAUUUACGAGGGAGACAGUUGAAGACAAUAGACAGUUUGCAACCUUUAAGGUGGCACUCCUGGGGACCAGAACUAAAUCGUAUUUAGUGAAAUUCAAUUGCCAUGACAAUUUCGUUUCUUGCUCUUGUCAUUUCUUUGAGAGGAUGGACCUUCCUUCUUUGUAGGCAUGUACUGAAGAUUUUUAUGGUGAAAGAUGUGUUUGAAAUCCCUCCGUAAUAUAUAAUGAAGCGUUGGACCAAGGAUGUAAAGGAGGGAGUUUUCAUUGAUGACAUUGGGGAACAAAUUAAAGUAAUAUAUGAACUACCACGCUCCAUUUGAUAUAAUGAGGUUAUGCCAACAAGUCGAUCCUUUGUCGAGCGUGCUUCACAAAGUGUAGAGGGCUAUGAGUUUGUAAUGACUAUAACAAAAAAUAGAAUUCGUCAAUUUGAUGAAAAGUUCGUGUCCAGGAGAGAUCCAUAGGAUAAUGCCAUGAUCAAUGUCAAUGAACAUGUCAAUUAUGCUAGUUGUAGUAACACACCAAGUGAAAGUAACUAUUGGCGUAAUGUCCUUGAACCUCCAUGAGCACGGACAAAGGGACGACCGGCUACUAAAAGAAUGAAACCUCGAUCUAAAGGAUGGAAGCCGAAAAAAAGGAACUGCGCAGUCUGCAAUGGCAGUGGGCAUGACAAAAGGAACUGCCCGUCGUUUGUUUGUGAUAGGUACAACUGUUUACCUUUACAUUAAUUUGAUAUGCAAUUGUAUUAUAUUCAUUAUUAUUGAUGUAUUUGAUUUACAAUUAUAUUAGCUCCAAUUUAAAUGCUAACAUAUGAAUUUAUCUUCCUCUUACAAUGCUAAGGAAAAAAUACGUCGUACGGUAAGGAAUGAGAAGGCAACAGAAGUGAGUUGAUGGUAAGAGUCACUCGCAUCACCCUAAGUUUUUGCUCCUUGAUACCAAAGUGUAGUAGUUAAAUUAUUGUGAAUGGAAUUACUAGUUCAAUGUAAAGAUAACCCAUUAUUGGAAACAUGAGGCAAUUGUAGCAUCUUUUUGUGAUGCAUCUAUUAGUUUCUAUUAUUCCAUGUUUGGAGCUUAGUUCACAAACUUCAUUUGGGACCUUGUUGAAGAAGUUAGUCCUAUGAUUCAAUAUUAUAUUCAUCAGAGUUAUCCUUGUACGAGCCACUGACAGGUGAGCAUUGGUUUCCACUCCCUCAAAAGCUGCUAUAAGGUUGUAGAGAUAGUUUUGUAAUACUAGCAUUCUGAUUUUAUUUUGUUCUUAUGCAUUUUGCCCUUAUGCAUUACUCUUUGUAUUUCAUGUGUUAUCUUCACCCAAAUUCAUUGGUAUUUUUGGUUGCGCAUUUGCUCAACAUAUCUAGAAAGUUUGGAAUAUUUCUCAUUUCAAUUCUAUUUGGCAGGGUGGGUGUCAGAUUGGAAUGGCUAAAGUGACAAAUGCAUAUGACCUUCUUGCAAGGUUAUUCACACAGUUGGUCCUAAGUUUGCUGUCAAAUAAUAUACGUCUGCCGAAAAUGCUCUCAGCCAUUGCUAUCGUUCUUGUCUCAAGUUUCUUAUUGAGAAUGGACUUCAGAGGUGGUCAUGUGAGCUUUUGUAGUGGUUGGAGUGAUGUAUAAUAUUAUUCUCUUCUGUUUUGUAGUGGUUGGGCUAACUUGAGAGUUUGGUAUUACUUUAUUUUGUCAAUGCCCCAGCUGGUAUGUGUAAAUGGUUAAAAGUAUGUGGUUCACCAUUAGCCUGAAGACUUUUGUAUGUGGUUCAACAUUAGCCAAACAAAAAUUUAUAUCUCAAUGAAUUAUGGUGAUAUGUUGGUUAGUUU